UACGUAGGGUGCGAGCGUUGUCCGGUAUUAUUGGGCGUAAAGAGCUUGUAGGCGGUCUGUCGCGUCUGCUGUGAAAAUCCGGGGCUCAACCCCGGACUUGCAGUGGGUACGGGCAGACUAGAGUGUGGUAGGGGAGACUGGAAUUCCUGGUGUAGCGGUGAAAUGCGCAGAUAUCAGGAGGAACACCGAUGGCGAAGGCAGGUCUCUGGGCCACUACUGACGCUGAGAAGCGAAAGCAUGGGGAGCGAACAGG
rnacentral:rRNA from 1 species